UAACACAUGCAAGUCGAACGGAACUUUGUUGAAUGUAAGUUUUCGGAUGGUAUUUUGAUAAGUUUAGUGGCGGACGGGUGAGUAACGCGUGAGCAACCUGUCCCUUUUCAGGUGGGGGUCAACAGUUGGAAACGACUGCUAAUACCGCAUAAUGUUAUUUGGGGGCAUCCCCGAAUAACCAAAGAUUUAUUGCUGAAAGAUGGACUCGCGUCUGAUUAGCUAGAUGGCGGGGUAACGGCCCACCAUGGCGACGAUCAGUAGCCGGACUGAGAGGUUGAACGGCCACAUUGGGACUGAGAUACGGCCCAGACUCCUACGGGAGGCAGCAGUGGGGAAUAUUGGGCAAUGGGCGAAAGCCUGACCCAGCAACGCCGCGUGAAGGAAGAAGGUUUUCGGAUUGUAAACUUCUGAUCUAUGGGAAGAAGAAAGUGACGGUACCAUAGGAGAAAGCCACGGCUAACUACGUG
rnacentral:rRNA from 1 species